UUAUUUAUAAGAACAUUAUUGUCCACUGACUGUAUGUUGAGCAAAUAGUGGACCCAAAUGCAGACAAAAAAACUGAAUGUAAAAUGAACAAAAAGCCCUUUGUUAAGGGUGAUUACAUGAGUACAAAUAACAAGAUAAAGUGAACAAGGACGAAAACUAAACUAAAACCUAAACUGGAAGAAACUAAACUAUGACAACUAUGACAAAAGACAUGAACAUGAUUCAGGGCAGGAGCAUGUAAGAAGCUAUGAGGAAAAAACAUAAACAUGGAACAUGAGCAUGACCUGAGUUGAAUCAUCAAAUACGUGAGCUUAAUGUUACGUGGAGGAAAGAAACACAGAUGAUCUGACAAAGAGGGGUAAUGAGGGAAGUGGAAACACCUGGGGAAACAGCUGGCACUAAUGAACAUAAUGACAUCACAGGGAAAAAAAGUACAACUAGACACAUUCAGCAUACAAGACACAGUACACCCAAGAUUUUCAAAAUAAAACAGGAAACACGGAGACAUGACAACACAAGCCUGACAAUAUGGAACACACAGACAUAAAACACAUGACAGACGGAACAAAAAAAAAAAAAAAAAAGGAGACAGAUGAUAGUAAUGGCUAAACCAAAGCUAUCUCAACCAUAAAUAAGAAUAAUUCAAGAACUUAAAAUCACAAACUUAACAUAAGAAAGUCAAAAGUACAGAACAAACUCAAAACGCUGGGUCACAGACCCAGCCCCUGAUAAUUAUUCAAACAAAGUAUGAUUCAUAGCUGGUAAAGACAAAAAUAAAUAAAUAAAUAAAAAUAAAGCAAUACUACAGUACUUACAUGCGUUUUCAUCAUGGAGCAUUGUGCUUAGAAAGUUGAGGGGAAUGAUGAAUUAAAUCAAUUUUGGAUUAAGGCAAAAUGUGGAACUAGUCAUCACUAUGGUCAAACAACAAAGGAGUUAUCCCCUCACCUCUAUAUGUGGAGUACAAUGCAACAUAUCAACUGAUAGCUCCACAUGUAGCUCCACGUUUGGUCAUUUUUAGUUUUAUAUUGAUGAUAAUCCAACAUACAUAGCAUUAUGAUACAAGAAGGACGUUCUUUGCACCCCUGGUUUCCUAAAAGAAACUUUUUUUAUAAAAUGUAAUACACAGAGCAAAUAAGAAACAUAAUACAUUACUUUUUAUUUGAUUUUAACUACAAUAAUAAAGACAUUACUACAUUAGCAUGUAUUAGGAGUUGGUGGCAUGUGUGUUGGUGUUUCUGGGGUUUGUUUUCCCUUUUCGGCACAGGUAGGCGGGGCGGUGUUUGACGGCAUUCCGGCACACCUGCGGCGCAUUGGACGUCAUCAGUGGGAGCAUUUAUGGAGCUGAGUGACGGACGUCUGGUGUCGGAUUAUUGUCGUUCCCACAAGUGGUAACAGUGCUGUUGCAAGUUUAAUCUGUUGGUUCCGUGCGACUGAGGUACAUGUUUUUAAGAUUCAUCUCCUGCCUGCUUUUUCUCUGCACCAGCCUGUCUCGCCGCCUGCUCGCCUGCCUGUUUCUUUGUGCGCUGGCCCAUCUUUGGAUCUGUGACAGAGACUUACCUGGCGCUGGCCUGCGAUCACUGUUAUUCCUGUAUUCUGGUGUUUCAAGUAGCUCUGGUUCGCCACCUAUAUCUGCCUGCAUACCUCGGCUCUGUUUAUUCGCACAUUUACCUGGUCAUUGUAUAUAGCCCCGUCCCCUUGUAAAUAUUCCCUGACCACUGUUAAUAAAUCUGCUUCACCGCUA